rnacentral:rRNA from 1 species
GGGUUGUGAGGUUAAGCGACUAAGCGUACACGGUGGAUGCCCUGGCAGUCAGAGGCGAUGAAGGACGUGCUAAUCUGCGAUAAGCGUCGGUGAGGUGAUAUGAACCGUUAUAACCGGCGAUUUCCGAAUGGGGAAACCCAGUGUGUUUCGACACACUAUCAUUAACUGAAUCCAUAGGUUAAUGAGGCGAACCGGGGGAACUGAAACAUCUAAGUACCCCGAGGAAAAGAAAUCAACCGAGAUUCCCCCAGUAGCGGCGAGCGAACGGGGAGGAGCCCAGAGCCUGAAUCAGUGUGUGUGUUAGUGGAAGCGUCUGGAAAGGCGCGCGAUACAGGGUGACAGCCCCGUACACAAAAAUGCACAUGCUGUGAGCUCGAUGAGUAGGGCGGGACACGUGGUAUCCUGUCUGAAUAUGGGGGGACCAUCCUCCAAGGCUAAAUACUCCUGACUGACCGAUAGUGAACCAGUACCGUGAGGGAAAGGCGAAAAGAACCCCGGCGAGGGGAGUGAAAAAGAACCUGAAACCGUGUACGUACAAGCAGUGGGAGCCUCUUAAUGGGGUGACUGCGUACCUUUUGUAUAAUGGGUCAGCGACUUAUAUUCUGUAGCAAGGUUAACCGAAUAGGGGAGCCGAAGGGAAACCGAGUCUUAACUGGGCGUUAAGUUGCAGGGUAUAGACCCGAAACCCGGUGAUCUAGCCAUGGGCAGGUUGAAGGUUGGGUAACACUAACUGGAGGACCGAACCGACUAAUGUUGAAAAAUUAGCGGAUGACUUGUGGCUGGGGGUGAAAGGCCAAUCAAACCGGGAGAUAGCUGGUUCUCCCCGAAAGCUAUUUAGGUAGCGCCUCGUGAAUUCAUCUCCGGGGGUAGAGCACUGUUUCGGCAAGGGGGUCAUCCCGACUUACCAACCCGAUGCAAACUGCGAAUACCGGAGAAUGUUAUCACGGGAGACACACGGCGGGUGCUAACGUCCGUCGUGAAGAGGGAAACAACCCAGACCGCCAGCUAAGGUCCCAAAGUCAUGGUUAAGUGGGAAACGAUGUGGGAAGGCCCAGACAGCCAGGAUGUUGGCUUAGAAGCAGCCAUCAUUUAAAGAAAGCGUAAUAGCUCACUGGUCGAGUCGGCCUGCGCGGAAGAUGUAACGGGGCUAAACCAUGCACCGAAGCUGCGGCAGCGACACUAUGUGUUGUUGGGUAGGGGAGCGUUCUGUAAGCCUGUGAAGGUGGCCUGUGAGGGUUGCUGGAGGUAUCAGAAGUGCGAAUGCUGACAUAAGUAACGAUAAAGCGGGUGAAAAGCCCGCUCGCCGGAAGACCAAGGGUUCCUGUCCAACGUUAAUCGGGGCAGGGUGAGUCGACCCCUAAGGCGAGGCCGAAAGGCGUAGUCGAUGGGAAACAGGUUAAUAUUCCUGUACUUGGUGUUACUGCGAAGGGGGGACGGAGAAGGCUAUGUUGGCCGGGCGACGGUUGUCCCGGUUUAAGCGUGUAGGCUGGUUUUCCAGGCAAAUCCGGAAAAUCAAGGCUGAGGCGUGAUGACGAGGCACUACGGUGCUGAAGCGACAAAUGCCCUGCUUCCAGGAAAAGCCUCUAAGCAUCAGGUAAUAUCAAAUCGUACCCCAAACCGACACAGGUGGUCAGGUAGAGAAUACCAAGGCGCUUGAGAGAACUCGGGUGAAGGAACUAGGCAAAAUGGUGCCGUAACUUCGGGAGAAGGCACGCUGAUAUGUAGGUGAAGUCCCUCGCGGAUGGAGCUGAAAUCAGUCGAAGAUACCAGCUGGCUGCAACUGUUUAUUAAAAACACAGCACUGUGCAAACACGAAAGUGGACGUAUACGGUGUGACGCCUGCCCGGUGCCGGAAGGUUAAUUGAUGGGGUUAGCGGUAACGCGAAGCUCUUGAUCGAAGCCCCGGUAAACGGCGGCCGUAACUAUAACGGUCCUAAGGUAGCGAAAUUCCUUGUCGGGUAAGUUCCGACCUGCACGAAUGGCGUAAUGAUGGCCAGGCUGUCUCCACCCGAGACUCAGUGAAAUUGAACUCGCUGUGAAGAUGCAGUGUACCCGCGGCAAGACGGAAAGACCCCGUGAACCUUUACUAUAGCUUGACACUGAACAUUGAGCCUUGAUGUGUAGGAUAGGUGGGAGGCUUUGAAGUGUGGACGCCAGUCUGCAUGGAGCCGACCUUGAAAUACCACCCUUUAAUGUUUGAUGUUCUAACGUUGGCCCGUAAUCCGGGUUGCGGACAGUGUCUGGUGGGUAGUUUGACUGGGGCGGUCUCCUCCUAAAGAGUAACGGAGGAGCACGAAGGUUGGCUAAUCCUGGUCGGACAUCAGGAGGUUAGUGCAAUGGCAUAAGCCAGCUUGACUGCGAGCGUGACGGCGCGAGCAGGUGCGAAAGCAGGUCAUAGUGAUCCGGUGGUUCUGAAUGGAAGGGCCAUCGCUCAACGGAUAAAAGGUACUCCGGGGAUAACAGGCUGAUACCGCCCAAGAGUUCAUAUCGACGGCGGUGUUUGGCACCUCGAUGUCGGCUCAUCACAUCCUGGGGCUGAAGUAGGUCCCAAGGGUAUGGCUGUUCGCCAUUUAAAGUGGUACGCGAGCUGGGUUUAGAACGUCGUGAGACAGUUCGGUCCCUAUCUGCCGUGGGCGCUGGAGAACUGAGGGGGGCUGCUCCUAGUACGAGAGGACCGGAGUGGACGCAUCACUGGUGUUCGGGUUGUCAUGCCAAUGGCACUGCCCGGUAGCUAAAUGCGGAAGAGAUAAGUGCUGAAAGCAUCUAAGCACGAAACUUGCCCCGAGAUGAGUUCUCCCUGACUCCUUGAGGGUCCUGAAGGAACGUUGAAGACGACGACGUUGAUAGGCCGGGUGUGUAAGCGCAGCGAUGCGUUGAGCUAACCGGUACUAAUGAACCGUGAGGCUUAACCUUACAACGCCGAAG